AGGAGGUUGCACACAGCCCAGAAACCACAGGUUGCACACCCUAUACAUUAAAAUAAAUAAAUAAAUAAAUAACACAGUGACUUGGGGUGAAGCCAUCCUCAGGAAACUCUAAUCUCUGCACGGUGUCCACCACACAAGCUAGCUGCAUAAACUUACCUGUAUUUGUUUAAGUCCAUCAGUGGUUAAUCUCCUGAACCUUGUGCAGAAGACAGCUUGUCCCACAGCAGCCCAUUCUAGGCUGGGAAUGCCAUGCCAACAACCCAGGGAAUUACUGCCCUGGGAACAGGCAGAAGCCAGUGAAGAGCUCAGCACACUAUGCCUGGUUCUUCUUAGACAUACCUGAAGACAAAUUCAUGGGUGACAAAACAUCUCUGGGUCAGUCAAAAUGUCCUGUAAUUCAUGCGGCAGAUACCUAAGCAAGUGUGUGCCUUUACCUGACAUAUAUGAAAGAGAAGAAGGUAUCUGUAUAACUUACUGGAAAAAAAAAAA